rnacentral:misc_RNA from 1 species
UUUCCGUAGGUGAACCUGCGGAAGGAUCAUUAUUGAAAGCUUCGGCUUCCUUUGAUGCUUUUUAACCCUAUUGUUGACCAUUACCCCAGUUGCUUCCACAGCCAGUUGUGUAGAAAUAUGCGCUGCUGUGUGUAGCCUACAAUCAAAACUUUUUAUAAUAUGCCAUGUCUUCUGUCUGAAUAUAAAAUAAAAAAAUGUUUUAAAACUUUCAACAACGGAUCUCUUGGCUCCU